UUCAGAGAAUGUUCUCAGCUCUGCUUGAAAAUAAUACCAGCAGCAUUCAUGCGUUUUACCAACUGCUGAGAUCCAUGGGGGAGAUCAAACUGGAAGGGACAAAGUGGUAAUAACGAGCAGAAGGACUGCAGAGGUUCAAGAGGAUGGCUCACCAUCACCUUCUCAAGGAUGAUCGGGAAUGAUGGCCUUGCCAGCGAUGACCAGAUACCAAAAUAUGAAUAAAUAAAACUAAUGUGCUUUCUACGUCCA